rnacentral:rRNA from 1 species
AUUGAACGCUGGCGGCAGGCCUAACACAUGCAAGUCGAGCGAGCGGCGGACGGGUGAGUAAUGCCUAGGAAUCUGCCUGGUACUGGGGGAUAACGACAGGAAACGGGAGCUAAUACCGCAUACUAUCAGAUGAGCCCAGAUGGGAUUAGCUAGUAGGAGGGGUAAUGGAUCACCUAGGCGACGAUCCCUAGCUGGUCUGAGAGGAUGACCAGCCACACUGGAACUGAGACACGGUCCAGACUCCUACGGGAGGCAGCAGUGGGGAAUAUUGCACAAUGGGCGCAAGCCUGAUGCAGCCAUGCCGCGUGUAUGAAGAAGGCCUUCGGGUUGUAAAGUACUUUCAGCGGGGAGGCGUUACCCGCAGAAGAAGCACCGGCUAACUCCGUGCCAGCAGCCGCGGUAAUAC